AUGAAAAGAUCCGUCCUUCGUCACUUUCCCAACGCGUUGCUCUCUUUCUUCCCUCCUUCCUUCCCUCCCCGCUUUCUGACUUUUGGAAACCCUCAGAAAGAGGCUGACCAAACAUCGUUAGCAAAUAUCCGUCCAAGGCGUUGGCACUUUAAAAACCUGAGAAAAACAGGGCGACGUUGCCCCUUCCCGCCCUUAUUCCUCCCCCCGGUAAGAAUUGCCGUCCGUCUCAGGGAACUGCGCCCGAGGCAUGAGGGGCGCCUCCAGGAGACGUCACUGAAGCCGCUGCCUUACCCCUGGCGGCAGGGCAAGGCUUGCUGGGAUAGCAUCCGGGAACCACAACAGUCCCCCAUUCCAGCAGUUGAAGCCGGAGGGGAGAGCGUGCGGUGGGGCUUGCCUCCAUACCCCAACAGGGGGAAUGGGCUUGGAGUUUGAAAUAACAAGUCUUUCAUUGAAAUGACUCCAGUGCUGUAGCCACCCAAUCUCAGCUUCAGUCUUCUCUUCAGUAUGAGAAUAAUGAUAAUGACUUGCUUCACAUACAGUAGCUAUCCUGAGGACUACAGGACCAUAAGGUAUAUGAGGCACCUUUAGCCACAGAGAAACCAAAAUGGAAAGCAACAAGUCCCAUUUUCUGAUUAGUUAGUUUUGCAGAGCAGAAGUGUGUGCUGCUAUAGAAAUUAGCAAAGAUGUCCAACAUAUUUACACAUUUGUGAUUUGUUUGGAUACUAGCAUAACCACUCUUAGUGUCUUACUGCGGAGGGUGGGUGGGGGUGGAAUCAAUCUUUGUUAAUUUGUAAGCAUUUAAAAAUACUUCUACCAAUUUAAAUUUUAGUGUUCUUGCAGGCUGAAGGGGGCUGUGGCUGAUAGUGUCAUACAACAACCAGUUCUGCAAUGUGUUUUAAUGUUCUGCUGCUGCAAGCAGGGAAUCUGAAAAUGGGCAUCAUAUCUGCACGUCAAGGGCAUCGCUAACAACAGCUUUAAAUAUUAAAUAGCAUUCUUUCCUAUGAUAGCACAGAUCAACACGAGAGAAGAUACUUUUUGUCAGCAUUUUUAUAACAUUACAUAAAAUCCCUGCAUUAUAGGUUGAACGCAUAUGAGAACUAGCAUUUUUAAUGUCUACCUAGGGUGAUUUGGGGACUUUUCUCUGUCUAGUGUACAAGAAAACAAUAUAAAUAAAUAAAUAAAUAAAUAAAUAAAUAAAUAAAUA
rnacentral:lncRNA from 1 species